rnacentral:rRNA from 1 species
CGCGGGAAUUCGAUUUUCCGGUUGAUCCUGCCGGAGGUCACUGCUAUUGGGAUUCGACUAAGCCAUGCGAGUCGAGAGGGUUCGGCCCUCGGCUGACGGCUCAGUAACACGUGGAUAAUCUGCCCUUAGGUGGAGGAUACCCUCGGGAAACUGAGAAUAAUACUCCAUAGGCCUAGGAUGCUGGAAUGCAUCUAGGCUCAAAGUUCCGGCGCCUAAGGAUGAGUCUGCGGACUAUCAGGUUGUAGUCAGGGUAAUGACCUGACUAGCCUACGACGGAUAUGGGUUGUGAGAGCAAUAACCCAGAGAUGAUAUCUGAGACACGAUAUCAGGCCCUACGGGGCGCAGCAGGCGCGAAAACUUCACACUGUGCGAAAGCGCGAUGAGGGAAUCCCAAGUGCUUGCUCGUAAGAGUAAGCUGUUUUUAUGUUUAAAACGCAUAGAGAGUAAGAGCUGGGUAAGACGGGUGCCAGCCGCCGCGGUAAUACCUGCAGCUCGAGUGGUGGCCGCUAUUAUUGGGCCUAAAACGUCCGUAGCCGGUUUAAUAAAUGCCUGGGUAAAUCGUGUAGCUCAACUAUACGAAUUCCGGGUAGACUGUUAAACUUGGGACCGGGAGAGGCUAGAGGUACUCCUGGGGUAGAGGUGAAAUUCUGUAAUCCUAGGGGGACCACCAGUGGCGAAGGCGUCUAGCUAGAACGGGUCUGACGGUGAGGGACGAAGCCCUGGGGCGCAAACCGGAUUAGAUACCCGGGUAGUCCAGGGUGUAAACGCUGCUUGCUUGAUGUUAGUCGGGCUCCGAGCCC